rnacentral:rRNA from 1 species
CCCUACGGGGCGCAGCAGGCGCGAAAACUUUACAAUGCGGGAAACCGUGAUAAGGGAACUCCGAGUGUCCGUAAAUGCGGACUGUCCGUAUGUCUAAAAAGCAUGCGAAGAAAGGGCCGGGCAAGACCGGUGCCAGCCGCCGCGGUAAUACCGGCGGCUCGAGUGGUGGCCACUAUUAUUGGGCUUAAAGCGUUCGUAGCUGGAUCGUUAAGUCUCUUGGGAAAUCUACCGGCUUAACCGAUAGGCGUCCAAGGGAUACUGGCGAUCUAGGGACCGGGAGAGGUGAGGGGUACUUCAGGGGUAGGAGUGAAAUCCUGUAAUCCUUGGGGGACCACCUGUGGCGAAGGCGCCUCACCAGAACGGCUCCGACAGUGAGGGACGAAAGCUGGGGGAGCAAACCGGAUUAGAUACCCGGGUAGUCCCAGCCGUAAACGAUGCGCGUUAGGUGUAUCGAUGACCACGAGUCAUCGAGGUGCCGAAGGGAAACCGUGAAACGCGCCGCCUGGGAAGUACGGUCGCAAGGCUGAAACUUAAAGGAAUUGGCGGGGGAGCAC